AAGAUACUUUAAAAUCCCAAGAUACACACAUUAACUCAAAUGCUUGGGUUAAACUCUAGCUGAAACGAUUAUACUUUCUCAUGUUUCUCUAUCAGCUCAUUUUUACACCACUUUUUCUCUCCAAUACAGAUGCUACUUGGGAAGUAGGUAGCAGUUUGGAAUAUGAGUUUCAGUUUAGGAAAAAGCACCGAGCUACCAUGUGAAGAUACCUAGUGGAGACUACACGAGCCAGAGGACAGCCAGCAUCAACUUGGAGACAUGUGAGUAAAGUCAUCGAAGACCACCCUUCCUCAGCCAUGCCACUAGGAGCCCAGGCGAGACUGCUGACCAAUGGAAUCAUAAGCAGAAAAACAGCGAGGCCGUUUGUUCUGUAGCAAUAGAUAACUGGUAUAGAAUGUUGGAAUGAAUUAAACAGUCGAGUCAAAAGAUGAGAAAAUGGCCUUUACAAUAUCCUGCUUUCAUGCUUUUAUCAACAAUACAUCUAAAAUCUCAGGAGAGAAAAAAGAUGAAAAUAAAGGGAUAUAAAAAUUAUACCAGGCAAAAACUAAAACUAAGCAAGUGUAAAUUGCCAGUAAUACUAGAUAAGACAGACUAUCACAAAAGGCAGUAUUUGUGCUAAAAAUAGUCAUUCUAUGACUGGGUCAAAAUGUAAGAAAAAUGAAAUAAUAUGAAACUUUAGUGCAUCUAAUAACAUAGUCUCAAAAUACAAAAUGCAAAAAUGGACAAAUCUAUGUAGUGAAAUAGACAAAUCGACAAUUAUAGUGGGAGAUUUCUAACACCCCGUCUUGAUAAUUUAUAUAGUUAAAACAGAAGAAAAAAUCAGUAAGGACAUAGAAGAUUUGAACCUACACAGUUAACAGACUUGACUUAAUGAAUAUAUAAAGAACAUAGUGCCCAAUAACUGAUAUAUACUAUUUUUAGACAUAGAUACAACAUUUAUGAAAACAGAGCACAUGUUGGACCAUAAAACAAAUCUCAACAAACUUUAAAAUACUAGAAUUUUAUAGACUUCAUUUUUUUGGCCAAAAUACAAUUAAGUCUGAAAUCACUAACAAAGACAAUCAGAAAAACUUUAGAUUUGGAAAUUCAAAAACACGUAGAUCAAGAAAAGUCACAAGGAAAAUUCAAAAAUAUUUAAAAAUAAAUAAUAAAAAUAUUAUGUAUCAAAAAGUAUAGGAUGCAGCUGAAGCAGUAGAGCUGAUCUGUAGCUUAAAUACAUACACUAAGAAAGAAAGGUAAAAAUGAAAUAAGCCACAAAGUUAAAACAUCAGAAAAA